rnacentral:ncRNA from 2 species
ACAUUUGGGCUGCUCCGAGCCCUGGCGCCUAAGGCUCCCUUUUUGAUGCGAUGGCGCCAUGGCCGAGCGCGGCGGGCCGAUGAAUGGGUCAAAGGCCUGCCGCGCCAAGGGAGGCGCGCGGAAACGCCGUCUCCUCCCGUGUUUGGAAAGGGGCGGCGGCGUGCAGCGA